CUCCUUCCGUGUUUGUUAAUGUAAAAGCUGCCUUUGUUGAAACGUUUUUAUUAACAAAAUCUCGACGUUUAAUACUAUAAUACAUCGUGAUUGCCAUUUAUUUCAACAAGAAAAGAAGAAAUAUGUAGAGGAACUUUAAAAGGUGGGUUUGUAACCAGCUGUGAUAUGUAUUUCUAGUGAGUAAAUAGCGAACUUUUGUUAUGACCGUUUGGUCGAUUUAAACUUGCGAGUGACUUCGCAAUCGAUUAUUAAUAACGAAGUUUGCAGCUUACUUCUCGCCUUAAUGUGAAAAUAUGUCGCUGACGUUACGAAGUUUACUAGAAAUGGACUAAUUUCAGACAAUUUGCUUUGUAACAUGACAAUACAAAGCCGUGAUCAAGCGAGGAUGAGAGUGCAUGAGAGUUUGCAGUCAUGCGACAUUGCUGAGCUGUUCUUAUAGUUAAAACAUUGUUGGAACACUUAUCAAACCUUUAUUUUGUUAAUCUAGAGCUUCAAAUGUCAUCUGUAAUAAUCCGUGACUGCCAACUCUCAUCAACUAUCGACGUUUGAU